GAUGAACGCUGGCGGCGUGCCUAAUACAUGCAAGUCGAGCGAACGGACGAGAAGCUUGCUUCUCUGAUGUUAGCGGCGGACGGGUGAGUAACACGUGGAUAACCUACCUAUAAGACUGGGAUAACUUCGGGAAACCGGAGCUAAUACCGGAUAAUAUUUUGAACCGCAUGGUUCAAAAGUGAAAGACGGCCUUGCUGUCACUUAUAGAUGGAUCCGCGCUGCAUUAGCUAGUUGGUAAGGUAGCGGCUUACCAAGGCAACGAUGCAUAGCCGACCUGAGAGGGUGAUCGGCCACACUGGAACUGAGACACGGUCCAGACUCCUACGGGAGGCAGCAGUAGGGAAUCUUCCGCAAUGGGCGAAAGCCUGACGGAGCAACGCCGCGUGAGUGAUGAAGGUCUUCGGAUCGUAAAACUCUGUUAUUAGGGAAGAACAUAUGUGUAAGUAACUGUGCACAUCUUGACGGUACCUAAUCAGAAAGCCACGGCUAACUACGUG
rnacentral:rRNA from 1 species